rnacentral:rRNA from 1 species
GUGUGUGAUGAUAUGAACUCGCCUGAUCUCUGAAGCUAAAGAGGGUGGGGCCUGGUUAGCACUUGGAUGGGAGACCGCCUGGGAAUACUGGGUGCUGUAGGCU